rnacentral:rRNA from 1 species
AUUGAACGCUGGCGGCAGGCCUAACACAUGCAAGUCGAGCGGGGUUUUCGGACCUAGCGGCGGACGGGUGAGUAAUGCGUAGGAAGCUACCCGAUAGAGGGGGAUACCAGUUGGAAACGACUGUUAAUACCGCAUAAUGUCUACGGACCAAAGUGUGGGACCUUCGGGCCACAUGCUAUCGGAUGCGCCUACGUGGGAUUAGCUAGUUGGUGAGGUAAUGGCUCACCAAGGCGACGAUCCCUAGCUGGUUUGAGAGGAUGAUCAGCCACACUGGAACUGAGACACGGGCCAGACUCCUACGGGAGGCAGCAGUGGGGAAUAUUGGACAAUGGGCGCAAGCCUGAUCCAGCCAUGCCGCGUGUGUGAAGAAGGCCUUCGGGUUGUAAAGCACUUUCAGUAGGGAGGAAGCGUUGUGUGUUAAUAGUACACAGCGUUGACGUUACCUACAGAAGAAGCACCGGCUAACUCUGUGCCAGCAGCCGCCGUAAGAC